rnacentral:rRNA from 1 species
AUCAUUACUGAGUUUACGCUCUACAACCCUUUGUGAACAUACCUAUAACUGUUGCUUCGGCGGGUAGGGUCUCCGUGACCCUCCCGGCCUCCCGCCCCCGGGCGGGUCGGCGCCCGCCGGAGGAUAACCAAACUCUGAUUUAACGACGUUUCUUCUGAGUGGUACAAGCAAAUAAUCAAAACUUUUAACAACGGAUCUCUUGGUUCUGGCAUCGAUGAAGAACGCAGCGAAAUGCGAUAAGUAAUGUGAAUUGCAGAAUUCAGUGAAUCAUCGAAUCUUUGAACGCACAUUGCGCCCGCCAGCAUUCUGGCGGGCAUGCCUGUUCGAGCGUCAUUUCAACCCUCAAGCUCUGCUUGGUGUUGGGGCCCUACAGCUGAUGUAGGCCCUCAAAGGUAGUGGCGGACCCUCCCGGAGCCUCCUUUGCGUAGUAACUUUACGUCUCGCACUGGGAUCCGGAGGGACUCUUGCCGUAAAACCCCCAAUUUUCCAAAGGUUGACCUCGGAUCAGGUAGGAAUACCCGCUGAACUUAAGCAUAUCAAUAAGCGGAGGAAAAGAAACCAACAGGGAUUGCCUCAGUAACGGCGAGUGAAGCGGCAACAGCUCAAAUUUGAAAUCUGGCCCUAGGCCCGAGUUGUAAUUUGCAGAGGAUGCUUUUGGUGAGGUGCCUUCCAAGUUCCCUAGAACGGGACGCCAGAGAGGGUGAGAGCCCCGUACAGUUGGACACCAAGCCUUUGUAAAGCUCCUUCGACGAGUCGAGUAGUUUGGGAAUGCUGCUCAAAAUGGGAGGUAUAUUUCUUCUAAAGCUAAAUACCGGCCAGAGACCGAUAGCGCACAAGUAGAGUGAUCGAAAGAUGAAAAGCACUUUGAAAAGAGGGUUAAACAGCACGUGAAAUUGUUAAAAGGGAAGCGCUUGUGACCAGACUUGCGUCCGGUGAAUCACCCAGCUCUCGCGGCUGGGGCACUUCGCCGGCUCAGGCCAGCAUCAGCUCGCUGUCGGGGACAAAAGCUUCAGGAACGUAGCUCUCUUCGGGGAGUGUUAUAGCCUGUUGCAUAAUACCCUUCGGCGGGCUGAGGUACGC